GUGGGGAAUAUUGGACAAUGGGCGAAAGCCUGAUCCAGCCAUGCCGCGUGAGUGAUGAAGGCCUUAGGGUUGUAAAGCUCUUUCAGUGGGGACGAUAAUGACGGUACCCACAGAAGAAGCCCCGGCUAACUUCGUGCCAGCAGCCGCGGUAAUACGAAGGGGGCUAGCGUUGUUCGGAUUUACUGGGCGUAAAGCGCACGUAGGCGGAUUGUUAAGUGAGGGGUGAAAUCCCAGGGCUCAACCCUGGAACUGCCUUUCAUACUGGCAAUCUUGAGUCCGGAAGAGGUGAGUGGAACUCCUAGUGUAGAGGUGGAAUUCGUAGAUAUUAGGAAGAACACCAGUGGCGAAGGCGGCUCACUGGUCCGGUACUGACGCUGAGGUGCGAAAGCGUGGGGAGCAAACAGGAUUAGAUACCCGGGUAGUCC
rnacentral:rRNA from 1 species